AGGAUUAACGCUGGCGGCGUGCAUGAAACAUGCAAGUCGAGCGCGGUGUGAUGCGGGGUAACCCAAUUCACAUCUAGCGGCGAACGGGUGAGUAACACGUGAGCAACCUACCUUUGAGUUGGGGAUAGCCCUGGGAAACCAGGAUUAAUACCCGAUGUGGUCACAACAGGACAUCCUGAUGUGAGUAAAGGCGUAAGCCGCUCAAUGACGGGCUCGCGGCCUAUUAGCUUGUUGGUGGGGUAACGGCCUACCAAGGCGAUGAUGGGUAGCUGGUCUGAGAGGACGAUCAGCCACACUGGGACUGAGACACGGCCCAGACUCCUACGGGAGGCAGCAGUUAGGAAUUUUCCGCAAUGGGCGAAAGCCUGACGGAGCAACGCCGCGUGAGUGAUGAAGACCUUCGGGUUGUAAAGCUCUGUCGGAGGGAAGAACACAAUGACGGUACCCUACCAACGAAACGCCCGGACUAACUACGUGCCAGCAGCCGC
rnacentral:rRNA from 1 species